AACGAACGCUGGCGGCAGGCUUAACACAUGCAAGUCGAACGCCCCGCAAGGGGAGUGGCAGACGGGUGAGUAACGCGUGGGAAUCUACCCAGUUCUACGGAAUAACUCAGGGAAACUUGUGCUAAUACCGUAUGUGCCCUACGGGGGAAAGAUUUAUCGGAAUUGGAUGAGCCCGCGUAAGAUUAGCUAGUUGGUGGGGUAAUGGCCCACCAAGGCGACGAUCUUUAGCUGGUCUGAGAGGAUGAUCAGCCACACUGGGACUGAGACACGGCCCAGACUCCUACGGGAGGCAGCAGUGGGGAAUAUUGGACAAUGGGCGCAAGCCUGAUCCAGCCAUGCCGCGUGAGUGAUGAAGGCCUUAGGGUUGUAAAGCUCUUUCAGUAGGGAAGAUAAUGACGGUACCUACAGAAGAAGCCCCGGCUAACUUCGUGCCAGCCGCCGCCGUAA
rnacentral:rRNA from 1 species